AGGUUUGUCUGAGAAGAGCUAUUUGUCUGUAAAUGAAGUUUCUGAAUGUCGGUCUAGUGUCUCAGAAGUGAAUCUGGAGUUGAAUCAAGAGCAGCAAAAUCUUAUUGGGCAGGAAAAUGUUUCUCUGGAGCAGACUAAAGAGGAUGGUCAGGUGGAAGCCCUAACUGAGGAAGGAAAGGGUGGAUUUUUGAUGGGUGAUGCUUUGGUGGCUAGUACAGCUUGUAAAAGUGAAUCUGAAAAGGGUAACUGUGAUUUGCUGUCAGUGGCUCAGUGUAGUAAAAAGAGCAGUUUAUCUGCUGGGAGUGGCAAGGUGCCUGGUAAGGAAGCUGCCCCACUCUCCCAGUCUUUGUCUGUAAUCAGCCCUGUGUGCUGGGACAAAGGAGAGGAAGGCAGGAAAAGUUUGGAGGAGCCUGGGCGGCCUUGUGAGCUGAUGGCUUUGUCUGGUCAGCAGUUUGGGAAGGCAGGGAGAGGGGAAGAUGAGUGUCCCUAUACCUUACCUGUUUCCUGUGUGGAGAAUAGUGACAGUGAAGGAAAUGUGCCUGUGUCUGUCAGGGGUAUUGACUUGCCUAUGGAGGAAGCUACCUCAGUCUCCAAGCAGUUGUCUGUGAACGGCCUCGUGUGCUGGGACAAGGGAAAUGAAAUCCCAAGCUAUGUGUCUGGUAAAAAAGGUGUCUCCAGCUCUUCUUUGUCUGUGGAGCAGACAGAAGGUGCCUUUCAGCCUGUGAUGGUUGAGGUUAGUGCAGUUGUCUCAAAGUUGGUUCUGAAUUCAACUAAAGCCCAGGAAGGGAAUGGUCCUAAGUCUGUGUCUGCUGGGGAGAAUGGCACUGUAACUAAGUUGCAUCCAGUUAGUGUCUUAGCAAAAUCCCAGAGACCAGACAAUUCUGGUGCUUAUAUUUUGCCUAUUGCUAGUGUGUGGUUGGUAAAGGGUGUAGCAACACUGUCUAAUCCAGGUAAUAGCCUAGCCGGGGCACACGGAGAGCAUGCAGGUGAUUUGGUUGUGUUACCUACUGAUGGUGUGGAAACUUGUAGCAAGAAGGAAAGGAUUCCUAAACUUGUGUGUGGCAAAGGAAAGGGAAAUGUUUCUAACCUUUCAUCUAGGAAGUCUAUGGGUUUGCCUGAAAGGGGAUUGUGUAGAGAUCUGCUUGAUGGGCCAAAGGAGAUCCUGGAUGUAAGUAAGACCCAGAAAAAGUCUGUUGUUGCUCAGGAAAGUGUUCCUUUAGAGCAAGCCCUAGGUGAAGAGGGUAAGGGCAAAAUUUCUGUGAGGGGUGAUUUGCUGCUUAGAAAAGCUCCUGUAGAAAGGAAUCCUCAUGGUAAUUUGUGCAAGCAGUUCCCUGCAAAUGAAGGGUGUGAGAGUGAUUUAAUAAAGGAAGUUUCGGUUCCUAACAGCCAGAAAUUUUCUGUUGUGAAUGGAUCCACUGACUUUCCUUUCGAAAGAUCCAGUGUGGGUAGCUUUGAGAAGGUCUCAGAUGGAGCAAAAGCUGUUAAGAAAGUUGAGCAGCCCUAUAACCGAGUGGCUGUGUUUGGCCAGCUUGUUGGGAAGACAAUGGUGUUGGAACAGGAAUGUCUCCAUUCUAAUUCUUUAAGUGAGCAGUUUGUGCUUCAGGGUCUGAGGACAGAUUUGGUUACUGAUGUGUCAGAGCAGAACAGUUUUAUGGCUAAAUGCUUGAGGAUGCAGGAGAGAGCAAGCAAACUCUCACCCUCAGACUCUUUGGAUUUGUGUGGUAUCUCUUUAAGACAGAGUCCAGCCUUGGAAAUGAUAGCAGUUAAGGGUAUGAAAACUGGUGGACUGGCUUCUGUCUGUGGUAAUGCAAAUUACUUGUCUGGCUGGGAGGGGAAGGACUUGCUAAUAGCUGUUAGCACAGAGAGCCCACCCCAUCAGCCAGUGAAUUCUGGUAAGCAAGAAAAAUCAGGGUUUGAUCCUGCAGGACAAGGAGGAAAGAGAAAACUGAAUUUUGCAAAGGGAAGCAACAGGUUAACCCUAAAAUGCCCAAACUCCAAUGGUAUUGAGCCAAAGGUGUGGCAUGACAACCAUAAUUGUAGAUGGACACUUGCAAUGGAUUUGUUGUUAAUGCGAAUGGCGAUUUUGUAACUAAUGUGUUGCUAUUACCAAGAACUGUAAGAAUGUACAAUGUUCCUAAUCUGUUGGAAAAUCCCUUGAACAUGUUAAAAGGAAUACAUGAGAACACACUUUAUGUUAAAAGGCCUUGUUACACUGAUGUUUCAGCUGAUGCCUAUAAACAGUAUUGGAACUUUUCACAGGAGAAAAGACAUUCCAGACCUAAUGUGCUGUAUGAAAAGGAAGACUGAGGCACACUACCAUAUUGCCUUCAUGGCUAAAUGCCAAGAUUCCUGUACUAUGAACAUCAUUAAUAUCUGCAUUUAUUUGCAAAAAGAAGAACAGGAGUACUUGUGGCACCUUAGAGACUAUUUAUUUGAUGUUAAUUGGGUUCCAAACAUUUGCCCGACCUUGUAUGGAUAAAGUAGCUGUUUUCUUUAGCUCUUGGCAAGGUCACAUGAGACAUACAGGAACCAUGCUGCCAGAGCAGAUCCAAUCCACUAUUGUUCUAACCAAGUUUUACCUUGAGGUUGUAAAGAGGUUCAAUCAUGUUGUUGAACACAAUUUUGAUAAACCAUUUCUGUUAUACUCUGAUAUGGCUUCUAACCCCNNNNNNNNNNNNNNNNNNNNNNNNNNNNNNNNNNNNNNNNNNNNNNNN
rnacentral:lncRNA from 1 species